UUCAUUGUUUCAUAAUGAUAAUUAUUUUGUAGGAAUCCCACAGAGCUUCAGUACUGUGGAUGAG
rnacentral:snoRNA from 1 species